rnacentral:rRNA from 1 species
UACGGGGGGGCAAGCGUUGUUCGGAAUUACUGGCGUAAAGGGCUCGUAGGCGGCCCACUAAGUCAGACGUGAAAUCCCUCGGCUUAACCGGGGAACGGCGUCUGAUACUGGAGGGCUUGAGUUCGGGAGAGGGAUGCGGAAUUCCAGGUGUAGCGGUGAAAUGACGUAGAUAUCUGGAGGAACACCGGUGGCGAAGGCGGCAUCCUGGACCAACACUGACGCUGAGGAGCGAAAAGCCAGGGGGGAGCAAAC